AUUGAACGCUGGCGGCAGGCCUAACACAUGCGAGUCGAGCGGAUGAAGGGAGCUUGCUCCUGGAUUCAGCGGCGGACGGGUGAGUAAUGCCUAGGAAUCUGCCUGGUGGUGGGGGAUAACGUCCGGAAACGGGCGCUAAUACCGCAUACGUCCUGAGGGAGAAAGUGGGGGAUCUUCGGACCUCACGCUAUCAGAUGAGCCUAGGUCGGAUUAGCUAGUUGGUGGGGUAAAGGCCUACCAAGGCGACGAUCCGUAACUGGUCUGAGAGGAUGAUCAGUCACACUGGAACUGAGACACGGUCCAGACUCCUACGGGAGGCAGCAGUGGGGAAUAUUGGACAAUGGGCGAAAGCCUGAUCCAGCCAUGCCGCGUGUGUGAAGAAGGUCUUCGGAUUGUAAAGCACUUUAAGUUGGGAGGAAGGGCAGUAAGUUAAUACCUUGCUGUUUUGACGUUACCAACAGAAUAAGCACCGGCUAACUUCGUG
rnacentral:rRNA from 1 species